GGGGGAUUAGCUCAGCUGGGAGAGCGCCUGCCCUACAAGCAGGAUGUCGGCGGUUCGAUCCCGUCAUCCCCCA
rnacentral:tRNA from 1 species